rnacentral:misc_RNA from 1 species
GUGAAUCAUCGAAUCUUUGAACGCAAAUUGCACUCUCUUCGGAGAGUAUGCCUGUUUGAGGGUCAGCCUAAAAAAAAUCUUCAUAGUCGCUGUUUCUCUUUGACAUUCGUCGGAAAUUGGGUCAUCUUAAACCUUUUGGUUUUAAGCGGCUUAAAAUUUUCUUUACGAUUCCACGAACUUUUCUAAGAUUUACUUACACGUUUAAGGUAUCUAUCUUUAUUAUACGUUGCCGUUGCAUCUGAUCUCGUCCAUAAAUAUUUCGUUAACUGACCUCAUACAGUUACGAACACCCACUGACCGU